AGUAUUUUAAUACAAAUAUCAAUAGAAUUGAUAAAAAAAUGGAGUAGAUUUAAGUUUAGUAAUCAUGCAGGUCAUCUUGUGGUAUGUGGAUGGUAUAUUUUAUUUAGUACUCCCUCCAUUCCAAAAUUCUUGUCUUAGAUUUGUCUAGAUAUGGAUGUAUCUAAUACUAAAAUGUGACUUGAUACAUCCGUAUUUAGACAAAUUUAAGACAAGAAUUUUGGGACGGAGGGAGUACUUCACAAGAGAUAUUUUGUCUGACACUUCACAAGUAUUUUUUGUUGUGUGUCAUUAUAUUUAUUCUAUGUUGUAUCACUAUUUAACUUUGAUAUUAUUUUAAGUCAAAAUAGUUGUCAUUUUAGUGGACUCGGAAUUGAAUGAUGAUGAUGAUAUAAGAAAUCGAGACAUGGAAGAUGACGUUCAAGGCGCCACAAAUCACAUGGAUUGUAUGAUUCUUGGAUAGACCUUCUGAGAACCUCAAAACAUCAAAUACAUCAUCAGAAGUUGAGCUCAUCUCGCAAUUAUUUACCCUUUCAACGUCUCUCAAUCCAACAAAUGAUGACUUAUUGGAUGAACUUUCCUUUUUUAUCAGUAUGGUUGAUAAUGUCGCUCUACUAGAGUGAGACAUAUUUUUUAGUUCAUUUUGAAUUCCAAUAAAUUACUACUCUGAUGUCAUUAUAACUGAGAGAAUUCUGAUUUUACAUUAGUGAAUGGGUGAAAAGGUAUAAUCUUUAUCCUAUUAGUUUAAAUUGAGACAAGUAAAAAACAUACGAGAAAAUGAUGAAUACAUGGAUGUUGACUGAUUUAAUAUGUGUGUAGGGAUACUAGCGCGCCACGAAGUCCAGCUAUUCAGAGACAUUCCAUCUCACUAUAUCGAUCUAAACUUUUGUAUAAGUCACUAUAGUUACAUAUUACAUUUUGCCUCAUAUCACCAAUGUUUUCUUAUUCUUGUCUUAGUCGAUGUGCCAGUGUGCACGAGAUAGUCACCAUGACAAUGUGGACAUUGCUAAAAUAAAAAUUAGAUUCAGAAUAUGCGUUUUUAUUACAGAUUAUGAUAUGUGCCUUCGAUCACAAAUAUGUCACAUUUUUAGAAAUACAAUUUGAGUGACUUGACAACAUUGUAUAGCGAUCUAAAAUUUUGGAUCAAUAUUAUUUUAAUAUUGUAUCAUGUGAACUUAUUUUGUUUCAGACGUGCGUUGCACGUGCAUGCUUACUAGUAUUACAGUAGCCAUAGUCUUCCUAAAUGGCAAUUUAUCCUAUUUAUAUUUAUAUUAAUUAAUUCUGUCGUAUAUAAUAUUUACCGCUAGCUAGUCCUGAUAGCAUGGUAGAUUAUGUCUGCCUCAGGGUUGUGCUAUAAACAAAGUACAAUAAUGAAUAUGGAGAUCAACAUCUAUAUGCUUUUAUAUAUGAUAUGAAGUACAAAGGACGUGAAUUCGACGAUUGUUCGUGGUUGUUAACUAUGUUGACACAAUGAGGACCUGCGGCUUAAUGUGGUUGUAACGGUGGCCACCUAGCCCAUGGGUGUCUCCCUCGUCAUAUUUUACAUUUGAGCUCUUUUACGGUGAUUGGGGAGUUACGAAUUGUUAUUUCAUGUAAUUCCCCUACCGAUUAUUUUCCACCGUUGAUUCUAACCUGUUAAUUAAAAAAAUUGAGUUUAGUCAAUAAGGGUAUUAUGGUCAUGUGUUCUUUUACUACUCCGCUAGUCAAACCCCCGCAUCUGGCUAACCCAUCUCGCGAGACGGGGAGCCGGCGCGAGGACAUGGGAGACGGCGGCGCAGGAAUGAGGACCAUGGCCAUGACGUCGGCGCGAGGACCUGCAGGCGAAGACGCCGACGCAAGGUCCAGGAGGCAAAGCCCAGGCUGGUCUUGAUCGUAGUGGCCGCUCGCCCACGUACGUCCCCGCCGCCGCCGCCGUGAGGUUCUGGAGGGGACGACGCCGGCGCGAGGUCUUGGAGGUCCCGGCUGCGCUUGGUCGUAAUGAUGGACGAACAGAGAGUUCGUGUAUUCUCUACGACUGCAAAAACGACGUGGAUUAAGGCAGCCACCGAUUCAAACAGUGAGCAUCAGGGAAAUAAUUUGGUGAAAUAUUGAUUGCGAGGGUUUGGAACCAACUAACAACAAA